CAAAGAUUUUAUAAGAAAAGACUACAAACUGUCAUAAGAGCAACAACUGAGAUGAGAUAUGAGAUAUCAGAAUGUAGCUGUACUCACAAUGAAUCCCAAUGGGUUAGGAAGCCCAGCUGAUGCGAUAAAAAUAUUUAAAACGAAAGCAAAAACGCAAAGUAAAAACCGUGUUAACUUCAUUUUUAAAUAGAAAUAAAAUGUUUUUAAUAGUAUUUAUAACGCGAUAUGUCACUGAAUCACUUCGAGAUCUAUGCAGGUGUAAAAAUAAUAAUCCAAAAAAAUACUAUCAGAUACAACGCACUGUAUUUUAAGACAUCGGUUAACUUUCAAAAGAUUAACAUUAGACAAAUUACCAUCA